rnacentral:rRNA from 1 species
GUGCCAGCAGCCGCGGUAAUACGAAGGGGGCUAGCGUUGCUCGGAAUUACUGGGCGUAAAGGGAGCGUAGGCGGACAUUUAAGUCAGGGGUGAAAUCCCGGGGCUCAACCUCGGAAUUGCCUUUGAUACUGGGUGUCUUGAGUAUGAGAGAGGUGUGUGGAACUCCGAGUGUAGAGGUGAAAUUCGUAGAUAUUCGGAAGAACACCAGUGGCGAAGGCGACACACUGGCUCAUUACUGACGCUGAGGCUCGAAAGCGUGGGGAGCAAACAGGAUUAG